CCUACGGGAUGCAGCAGUGAGGAAUAUUGGUCAAUGGGCGGGAGCCUGAACCAGCCACGUCGCGUGAGGGAUGACGGUCCUACGGAUUGUACACCUCUUUUGCCGGGGAGCAAGCGUGCGUUCGUUAACGCUCGUCGAGAGUACCCGGAGAACAAGCAUCGGCUAACUCCGUGCCAGCAGCCGCGGUAAUACGGGGGCGGCGAGCGUUCUCCGGAUUUAUUGGGUUUAAAGGGUGCGUAGGCGGGAUGCCAAGCCAGCGGUAAAAAUGCGGGUCUCAACGCCGUCGAGCCGUUGAAACUGGCGUUCUUGAGUGGGCGAGAAGUAUGCGGAAUGCGUGGUGUAGCGGUGAAAUGCAUAGAUAUCACGCAGAACUCCGAUUGCGAAGGCAGCAUACCGGCGCCCUACUGACGCUGAGGCACGAAAGCGUGGGUAUCGAACAGGAUUAGAUACCCCUGGAGUC
rnacentral:rRNA from 1 species